CUGCACUGGGACCCUGGAGCAGAGGCAGGCCAGCAAAUCCAUGUGGAUAUCACACAGGUGGUGUUAGUCUCCAGGAGAGCCAAGAAUGUCUCUUUAGUAUAUGACUCCUGCUUUGCCAGGCUGACCCUAGAGGCUUCUUCUAAUGGUGAUUUCUACCAUUACGUGUCUAGGCUUCCUCUUCUGUUGAGAGCAAGGGUGCAUGAUUUGCUUCCCAGCUGGCUUGUCGUGUGGUCCUAAGGAAGACAUUGUGUGGGAAGGAAGGGGCACAUGCUUAUGAAGGGCUCAUAGCAACCCUGACGUGUCAGACCUGGAGGAUGACCACCUUACAAGCAAGCAGCUGUCCUCCAGGGAUCAGACCAUUAUAGUCUACGUGUUCUCAACUAAGGAAAGGGACGAGACUAUAAAAGAAGAGGCCAAAGUGUAUAGGGAACUGAAAGAUCUAGAAGCAUGCCUUCCAUUCAGGUGCUCUGGGACCACAGGCUUGUGAACUGAGCUACGUCUCCCCUGAAGAGACAGACCAGCUGAGUGGAUGAGAGAGUGGGACCGCAGUCAGGAAGAAUUCAACUCCUCAGGGGAACGAGAAGAAUGUGCAUCAAGUCCCAGGAGCUCUGAUAUGCUGCAUGCAGACACUCCCGGCCCCCCGCCCCAUGCCUGGCAUCUAACAGACACGCAGUAAAAGUUUGCUGAACGGAUCAGAAAUGGCAGAGUCAGAAGAAGAUCAAGAGAGGAAAUAUUUAUUGAGUGCUUACUGUGUUGCAAACACUGUUUACCUGGAAUAUCAUUUAAUUCUCAAAAGAACCCUAAAUGGCCGGCUCUCUGUAUAUGAGUCCAUUGAGCAGGUCAAUAACUGAGACACAGGGUAGUCAGGCCACUCGUCCAAGGUUACUCAGUUAGGAAGUGGUGGGGCUGAGGUUCAGACCAGGAAGUCUUAUUCCAGGAUCUACGCUCUUAACCACCACUCUCUGCCAUGUAGCAAUGUGGAGGAGGGAAAUCAAGGGCUAAGAGGCACAAGACUGGAAUCGAAUGAGGUGAAUGGAUUGGGAGGGAUGGCUCAUAUCCAGCACUUCAGGAAGGUGCGCUUGGGCACAUGGAGGCAGGAGGCAUGGAAGGGGCUUCGUACGUAUGCUCAGUAGGAGUUGUGGAGGCCAGCGCAGCUGAUAAAAGGAGCCAUGCUUGGCUGAACCUUUUAACAAUGAGGAAAGAAGCCCAAAAUACUAGUAAUAUCUCUUUGAGGAUGCUCAGUCCAAGAAGCGUUUUUGAUGGCACAGCUCUAUGUAUUCACAAAUUUGAUAACAAACAUUUACUGAGCUCCUACAACACGCUGGGGAGUGUGAUGGGAACUUCAGAGAGAAAAAUGCAUUAGACUCUGCUCUUGUUCUCACAGCAAAAGACAAUCCAGAGAACACACAGUCAAGACGUGGUGAAAUGAGUCCUAGGUCAGAAGGAAGAAGAGAGCCUUUGGGCAAGAAGCAUCUUAUAGGACCAGUAAGAAUUAACCGGGUGAAUAUUUCCUGCGAACUGCAAUGUGGAAGGCAUUUUGGACGCCAACAGGAUAGGGAAUGGUGGGAUGAAUCUGGGAGGUGGGCAGUAAAUCAGUAUUGGGGGGGUGCAUGUUGAGGGAGCUAGCAGCUAGAGAAGUUUUCAUGGAAGCCUGAUCAUGAGGUUUGGUAAGGAAUUCAAACUCUCCAUGAAAAGUAAGAGGAUUCAUUAAAAGAUUUGAAGGAGAGGAGUGACAUGAAGAGAUUUUGUAAUUUAGAAGGAUCAUUUUGACAGAAUGACCCAGAAGAGGUCAGAGUAACAGAGAGCCCUGUUAUUGCAUUUAACUAGGUGAGAAAAGAUCAGGCAGUGACAGUGGGAAUGGAAAAGGAUGCUGAGUAUGAGCGAGAGUUAGAAGUAAGACUCUAUAAGAUUUGAUAUGUUGAGUGAAGGAAGGGUUUAAGCCUCCCAACUUCUCAUUUGGACAAUGAGAAGAACAGCAGUACCAUUUUUUGAGAUCGGGAAAUCAGAAGGAGGAGGAUAGGAAAUGUCUCUUAUCUAUUUCUACACAACAAACCACUCCAAAACUUAAAAUCUUGAAACAAAAAUCACAUAUUUGCUCAUGACCCUGCUCAGGACUUAGAAGCUAUGGCUUGACUAUGCUUCACGUAACACUGGCUGGGGCAGUUUGCGUACAGCUGCAGGCUUCCAGAAUAACCUCAUUCCCACGACUGGCAGGUGGCACUGCUGCCAUUUGGGAAGUCAGUUUUGGCUGUUGUCCAGGGGGUCUCUGUUCUCCUCCUGAGGGCCUUUCCACACAGCUGUUCAGGUUUCCUCACAACAUGGUAUCUGUGUUUUGAGAAGGAAUGUUCCGAGAGGUGAAGAUGGAAGCUGGAGAUCCCUUAAGGCCUGGCCGCAGAAGUUAUGCAGUAAGCCGUUGGUCAAAGCCUGUCACAGGGCCAGCCCAGAUCAAGGGGAGUGGAAAUAGACUCCCAUCUCUUGAUGGGUGGAGUGGCAAAGAAUUUACAGACAUCUUUAAUCCAACAUUAAAGUGUCCGAAGAAAAAGAUGAAAAAUUCAGAUUGGGCACGUCAAGUUGGAGGUACCUGAGUGACAUUAAACGGAGACAUCAAGAAGGAGGCAAUUCAACCUCCAUGUCUAGGGCUCAGAGGAGAGCACUAGCUUUGGAAGACAUUUGGUAGAUGGAAAUAGUACUUAAAAUUACGGGUUCCCCUGGGGUAUGUGAAGAGAGUGACUGGCAGGAGGCAAGAUUGGAGAUUUUAGACAUUUAGUGGUCAAGUAGAGAAAAAGUUGUGCGUGACAAAGACUAGGAUGAAGACAUAAAGAAAUAGGAAGGAAACAGACAAGAGUGGGGCCACAGAAGCUCAGGAGAGAGUGUGAGAAGGAGGAGCUGUUCAAUAAUCUCACAUGCCACAAAGAGGUCAAGAAACCUUCUUACAAACAGGAGAACAUCCACUGGCCUUGACAAUACAGAGCUUUGGCGAGCUUACGAAGGCGUUUCUAAGGGAGUGGUGAAGACAGAGCCUAGAAUUUUUCGUUCAAAGAUAGAAAUACUGCUGAAUGGAGGAAAAGAUUUGUUACCUGGGAUUUAAUGUCUUUACAACUUUUUCUUCUUUUUAGCAUCGUUUAGAUUACUUUUUUUGUUUGACUUUUU